UCCCCGGGNUUAACCUGGGAACUGCGUUNUGAACUGGGUAGCUAGAGUAUGUCAGAGGGGGGUAGAAUUCCACGUGUAGCAGUGAAAUGCGUAGAGAUGUGGAGGAAUACCGAUGGCGAAGGCAGCCUCCUGGGAUAAUACUGACGUUCAUGCCCGAAAGCGUGGGUAGCAAACAGGAUUAGAUACCCUGGUAGUCCACGCCCUAAACGAUGUCGAUUAGCUGUUGGGCAACUUGAUUGCUUAGUAGCGAAGCUAACGCGUGAAAUCGACCGCCUGGGGAGUACGGUCGCAAGAUUAAAACUCAAAGGAAUUGACGGGGACCCGCACAAGCGGUGGAUGAUGUGGAUUAAUUCGAUGCAACGCGAAGAAUCUUACCUGGUCUUGACAUGUACGGAACCUUCCAGAGACGGAAGGGUGCCUUCGGGAGCCGUAACACAGGUGCUGCAUGGCUGUCGUCAGCUCGUGUCGUGAGAUGUUGGGUUAAGUCCCGCAACGAGCGCAACCCUUGUCAUUAGUUGCCAUCAUUAAGUUGGGCACUCUAAUGAGACUGCCGGUGACAAACCGGAGGAAGGUGGGGAUGACGUCAAGUCCUCAUGGCCCUUAUGACCAGGGCUUCACACGUCAUACAAUGGUCGGUACAGAGGGUAGCCAAGCCGCGAGGCGGAGCCAAUCCCAGAAAACCGAUCGUAGCCCGGAUUGCACUCUGCAACUCGAGUGCAUGAAGUCGGAAUCGCUAGUAAUCGCAGGUCAGCAUACUGCGGUGAAUACGUUCCCGGGCCUUGUACACACCGCCCGUCACACCAUGGGAGUGGGGGAUACCAGAAGCAGGUAGGAUAACCGCAAGGANUCCGCUUGCCACG
rnacentral:rRNA from 1 species